AGAUUGAACGCUGGCGGCAGGCCUAACACAUGCAAGUCGAGCGGCAGCACGGGUACUUGUACCUGGUGGCGAGCGGCGGACGGGUGAGUAAUGCCUAGGAAUCUGCCUGGUAGUGGGGGAUAACGCUCGGAAACGGACGCUAAUACCGCAUACGUCCUACGGGAGAAAGCAGGGGACCUUCGGGCCUUGCGCUAUCAGAUGAGCCUAGGUCGGAUUAGCUAGUUGGUGGGGUAAUGGCUCACCAAGGCGACGAUCCGUAACUGGUCUGAGAGGAUGAUCAGUCACACUGGAACUGAGACACGGUCCAGACUCCGUACGGGAGCAGCAAGUCGGGGAAUUUUGGACUAA
rnacentral:rRNA from 1 species